rnacentral:rRNA from 1 species
UACGAGGGAUCCUAGCGUUGUUCGGAAUCAUUGGGCGUAAAGGGUGCGUAGGUGGCCAUACAAGUCAGUUGUGAAAGCCCCGGGCUCAACCCGGGAAGUGCUUCUGAUACUGUUUGGCUUGAGUACUAGAGAGGUGAGUAGAAUUCCAGGUGUAGUGGUGAAAUACGUAGAUAUCUGGAGGAAUACCGGUGGCGAAGGCAGGUCUCUGGGCCACUACUGACGCUGAGAAGCGAAAGCAUGGGGAGCGAACAGG